AAACAAGAACAGAUUCCCCAAUGUACUUCCAUGAACAGGCUGAUUGGUCCAUUGCUGAGAUGAAUGCUGAGAUUGGGGAGAGCCACACCUACCUCUACACAUCACAGACUGAUGAACAGGAAGCCAUGGACAGGAUGCAACACAUUUUAAGGGGGGGGUUGUAUUUUGAUUUUGAUUUAGUGCAUAUUUCAUGUUCUGUUUCAUUGAUGUGUGUAUUUAUUUAGCAUUUUGUUUACUAUAUUUAUCUUUGACAUGUUAAUUCUUUGUAUUGAUAUUUGCACACCUUGUUACGUUACAAUAACAAUUUUGUUUUUUUAAUUAAUUGUUAUAAUAAUGGUUUAUUUUUUAAUUUAGUAAAGCGCCUUGAGAGUCUGUUUACGCGGAUUUUGGCGCUUUAUAAAUGUUCGUUAUUUAGUUUUGUUAAAUUGCUUCUUAA